rnacentral:sRNA from 1 species
ACGUGGCGGCUCUCGCCUGGGCUGUUUCCCGGCUUCAUUUCUCCCGACUCAGCUUCCCACCCUGGGCUUUCCGAGGUGCUGUCGCCGCUGUCCCCACCACUGCAGCCAUGAUCUCCUUAACGGACACGCAGAAAAUUGGAAUGGGAUUAACAGGAUUUGGAGUGUUUUUCCUGUUCUUUGGAAUGAUUCUCUUUUUUGACAAAGCACUACUGGCUAUUGGAAAUGGGCUUCUUUCCUGUCGUUGUUGGCUUUAUUAGAAGAGUGCCAGUCCUUGGAUCCCUCCUAAAUUUACCUGGAAUUAGAUCAUUUGUAGAUAAAGUUGGAGAAAGCAACAAUAUGGUAUAACAACAAGUGAAUUUGAAGACUCAUUUAAAAUAUUGUGUUAUUUAUAAAGUCAUUUGAAGAAUAUUCAGCACAAAAUUAAAUUACAUGAAAUAGCUUGUAAUGUUCUUUACAGGAGUUUAAAACGUAUAGCCUACAAAGUACCAGCAGCAAAUUAGCAAAGAAGCAGUGAAAACAGGCUUCUACUCAAGUGAACUAAGAAGAAGUCAGCAAGCAAACUGAGAGAGGUGAAAUCCAUGUUAAUGAUGCUUAAGAAACUCUUGAAGGCUAUUUGUAUUGUUUUUCCACAAUGUGCGAAACUCAGCCAUCCUUAGAGAACUGUGGUGCCUGUUUCUUUUCUUUUUAUUUUGAAGGCUCA